rnacentral:lncRNA from 1 species
UGCUCUUCCUUAGGCACCUGAUAGCUGAAGCUACAAAAAAAUCAAACUUACUAAAUAGUAUAAAGACAGGAGACAGCACCCAAAGCAGCCGAGACCUAGCCCACCCUGGCUGAAAGACGGUGACUCCUGUGCCGAAGCAGAGGCUGACAUGGGUGAACAGGACUGCCUGGGGCAGAGCUGUGACCGCUGGGAAACAGGUCCUACCGUAGGCGCUGGGAUAAUAGAGACCCCCUCGGAGCAGCUUAACGGUCUCCCAGAUGUCUUUUCUGCUGCUGAGCAGACUGGCAGGCAGCCGGUGAUGGGGCCCUACUUGGAAGACCCCCUCCUCUGCUGGCUCCUGCGAUUCUUCAGCCUCCUCGUCAGUGUCUACAGCAGUGGGACCAAUGGUGGAGGCCCUGCUCCUGGAGUUCAGGAUUCUGGAGCUCCUGAUCCUCUGCAGGGGAUCCGAGGAGGUUCUGUGCUGUUUCCUUUGCCCAAGAAGCAAGACGCUGAGCUGGAGGAGGUCACGUGGGGCUUUGGUCCUGGGUCAGAGUACAGAGUCCUGCUGCGAGUCCGUCCUGGGAAAGCUCCCACCUGGGUCAGCCUCCAGGACAGGUACCAGCAGAGGGUCCAUGUGCCCAACAUGACGUCCCUGAAGAUUGAGAACCUGACCCCUGAGGACAGUGGGCUGUGCAGGACCUCAGGGGACGCAGAGAACCUGAAGGUGACCUGGGAGGGCAAGGGCCUCCCCAGGGAGCUGGAGGAGAGAGUGACAUCAGGACCAACCCCCAAUUCGUGGACCCUGGCUGUGCACCUGCCCCAGAGCCAGCCCUACACCAACAUCACCUGUGUGGUCAGCAACGAAGUGGACCAGAAAACUGCCACCUUCAACCUUGGGGAAGUCUGUGUCCAUGGUUCACAUGGACAAGCCAAUGCUGUUGCCCUGCCAGGCAUCUUAGGGGCAGGGGCUACUGUGGCUACACUAUUACUGAUCCUUGGAAUUGGACUCUGCCUUUGGAAGAAGAAGAAGAAGAAGAAGAUGGAGACUGCAAGAGGAUUGCAGGAGGAGUCUAAGGACCGUGACGGUGGCAUCCAAUAUGUAGAGCUGAGCCAGCAGGAUUCUCGAGAGAGCACGGACCAGGGUGAUGGUGAACGACGUCUAAAUGAAAAGGAGGCUCUUAAUACUGUCUACAGUGAGGUCCAUAAGCCAGCAAGUGUGCCCAUGAAGAUAAUUUAAUUGGAGGAGGCAGAAGAAUUGACACUCCUAGGACACCUCCAUUCUGAAUUUGAUCCCUGCAGAUACCUGCCCCUACGAGUGCUGGUCCAGCACCAGCUGCCUCUGGUCUGCAUUCCUCUGACCUUUGUGCCCUCAACUCCCUGGGCUCACGUGGCCCUGUCACUUCCUCUGUCAACUCUAUAUGCUGCCUUCCACUCAGGUUCCUCACUCCAGAAGGACUAGUGCUCUUUCUCCGUCAUUGACUCUGCUCCUGAUUCCUCUCCUUCUGAAGUUUCCCUAGGAGGAUCUCCCUACCUGUGCAUGUGUUCAUCCCCACAGCCUCUGCGCUGUGGCUGGUGUGUAUCUUUCUGAGAACAGGAGCCUGGGCGUGGGGACUGUGUGGAGGUUUCGACUGCACCAUAGAGGGAGUUAGGAACUUGGAGCUGGGUGUUGAGCUGAGUGUCCAUGGAGGUGGCCUGGAUGGAUGGGUAGGAGCCUACAAAAGACGGGCCUGAAGCGUCCUUUGUAUGGCAAAAGGUGUUGGAGGGACUGUCUAGUAUACAUCAUACAUGGGGGCCAGAGCCCUUGAUCCUGAUCACCCAUACUAACCUCAGCUUCAGCUCAUGGGCCUUAAAUCCAUCUCUCGUGGAAUGUGAAGAGGAAUUUGUAUUGUCUCUGGUCCUUCCAAGCCAACUCCUUUUCAGAGAAAGACCCCAGGAACCCAAUGUUGGGACUCUGUGUUCUUCCCUGUCUGGGCCAGGGGUUCUUGUCAUUAGAAUGGUCAUGCAGGAAGUUCCUGUUUUGCAGCAGUGGAAACAAGUGCUACUGGUAUCCAUGAGGAUGCAGGAUCCAGUAUUGCUGUGAGCUGUGGUGUAGGUCGCAGAUGCGGCUUGGAUCCCACAUUGCUGUGGCUAUGGUGCAGGCUGGCAGCUAUAGCUCUGAUUUGACCCUUAGCCUGGGAAUUUCCACCUCCAUGUGCUGUGGGUGUGGCCCUAAAAAGAAAAAGAAAAAGAAUGGUAGUGCAUGUUCCCCUACCACCCCCAUGGUGAGGCUGCUAUGAGGUGUGAAGGGUGAAACUUACGGGAAGGUCUGAACCAGCCCUCUCCUGCCUCUUCUACUGACCCUCAGACCCCACAGUCCUGCUGGCCUCAGAUCCUAGGUCAGUCUCCUCUUUGCUCACUCACAUCCCUCUGCCUGGAAUGAUGGAUCCUUUACCCUGUCUCUUAUUCCCAUCCCUGGCUGUUGAAAACCUACCAACCCACCCAAAGCCUCUCUUCAAGUCACGUGUUCCAGGGAGCCUGUCUGCUACCAAGAGUUGGAAAUGUCCUCUCCCACAUCUGACCUUCUUGAACACCAUGGACAUAACUAAGGCCCUUGCUGCUAUCGGCCAUGGACUGGUCAUGCCAGACUUGCCUAGGGCUCCCUCAAGAGGGUGUUGGGGUUUAGGAGGCAAGGACCAAGAAGACAAACACCUGUCUCUAAGCCUCCUCACAACUUCCAUGGGGACUCAGCAGACUGAGACCCAGAGCACAGAGGCUGCUGAAGGUCUCGCUGGUGGUGAGCCCACUUGGAAGCAAAGAGGGAUGUGAUGACCUCCCAUGACCUUGCCUGGCCCAGAGAUCUGAGGAGGGGCUUCCCCACCCCAUCUCCAGCCUCCCAUUGCCUGAGGACCUGAUGAAGCCUGCACUGUGCUGUGUGGGGUCUUCUCCUCCCCCUGGGGGUUUUCAUCUCAUCAAAGCCUCUGCCUCCUGCCUUCGGUCUCAGCUCUUGGGUCAGAGAUGGGCUCGCUCUGGAACGAUGAUCUGUGGAAACUUGACUGCUGGUCUAGAUUCCUGGAUUUCUUGGUUCCCUUCCCAGCUCAGCAAGCUCAGCUGAUUCACCUCUAACUUCAGAAAGCAAAGUUCUGAGCUAAAACCUUGAGCAUGAUGAAGCAAGGCUGGGAGCCUUCUUCCCAUGGAUAAAGGAGGAUGAGAGUUUCAAUAAUAAAGCUAUUUCUAACCUCUUUCUGCUCAGGCUGAACAGAAGGCUAAGAGAAAAAGAGGAGGUCUGCCACUGGCCUCCCAGGUGACCGGUCAUGCCUGGGUGUCAGUGCCCAUCAGCCCAGAAGCAAUGUAAGAGGUGACUACCCAUUGAUCCCUCCCCUCCAACCUAUAGCAGGAGAGAAAAAAAAAAGAAGAAAAACGAAAGGAACCAGAUUUUCUAAGUCUAUAAUGAACUAGAUUUUGUCCUAGGCAUUUUAUAAAUACUACAUCUUCUAAAUCUUACGAGAACUCUCUAGGGUAGGUAUUUCUAUCUUCAUUUUGCAGGCAAAGUAACCAAAGUCCCCAAAUAGUUGUUGGUAGAGCAAAGCCUUCAAUCCUGCCCUGGAUGAUUCCAGCAUUCAUACCUUAUCCUUUGCUACAUGGCCACUGAAGCCUUUGGAAUCCUGGAGUACUCAGAGGAGACUAUCCUCCAUGUGUUCCUCUCCCAGGGAUCCUGGUCUUCGGACUCAGGUGCCCCAGCUUGGGGUUCAUCCUCAUGAUGGAUGGAGCAGCUUGUGGUUGAAAGAGGAAUUGUUCCUUAAGUGGACAUUGAGUGGGAAAUGUGGGUGGGAGACAUGGAAUGAGGGACCUUGCCCCCUGGCUCAGAUGAGAUAUUCAAAUUAGAGAUGCUUCUCUCUCUUGGGCCUUGUGGGAGCUCCUUCCUCUCAUUCAAUGUACGUUGUGGAUUUCCAUGUCCCUAUUCUCAAAACAACUUCCCUUUGCAUUAUUAUUCAUAACUUCAUUCAAAAGUUCUGUGAGGCAGACUUCCCCAUUGGACAGAUAAAAAAUCAAAAUCCAGAGAUGUUAAGCACCCAGCACAAAUUCUCCUGAGUCUGAGUCUAAGUGAUGUAGGUGCAAUUUGGUUCACGAGAUAAUAAUUACCCUCAUUUUGACUCCUUUUUUUUUUGUAUUCUAGGUUUUCAUUUUUUUUCUUCAAAAUUUUUUAUUAUAAUUGAUUUACUAUGUUCGGUCCAUUUCCGCUGUAUACCAAAGUGACACGGUUAUACAUAUAUAUCUUUCCCUCAUAUUAACCUCCGUCAUGUUCCAUCACAAGCGAUUUGACUCCUUCUGCCUUACCCCAGACACCCAACCGGUCCCCAUCUUCCACUGGGUUAUCCUUCAUAAAGCUUCUUGUUCUCCAUUCUCUUCUCAUUCUUUCAUUCCCAUCUUCUACCUGCAGCUGCACCAUUUUUACAUUUCCACCAGCAGUGUGAGGAUUUCUCCACAUUAUAUCCAAAUCUUUUUUUUUUUUUAUUGUAGCCAUCUACAUGCUGUUGAAGUGGUAUCUCAUUGUGGUUAUUAAUUAUAUUUUACAAAUGAUUAAUGCUAAACAUGUUUUCAUAAAGCACAUUAACCAUUUGUAUACCUUAUUCGAAGAAAGGUCUUUCUCCAAUUCUCUCUCCCUCUCUCUUUUUUUUGUCUUUUUAGGGCCACACCCAUGGCAUAUGGAGCUGCAGCUGCUGGCCCAUGCCACGGCCACAGCAAUGCCAGAUCUGAGCCCUGUCUGCAACCUAUACUGCUGCCCGAGGCAAUACCAGAUCCUUAACCCACUGAGCAAGGCCAGGGAUUGAACCCUUAUCCUCAUGGAUACUGGUCAGCUUCUUAACCAGCUGAGCCACAAUGGGAAAUCCUCAAAUUCUCUUUUGCCAUGCAUUGCCCCCACCUCUCCCUUAAGUCUACUUUUGUCCAGGUCACCAGAGAACUUCAUGUUGUUCAAUCCCAUGGUCAAUUCUCAGUCCUCAAUGCCCAUGACCUCUCAGCAGUAGCGGAUCCCACUUUGAAGA